rnacentral:rRNA from 1 species
AGCAGCCGCGGUAAUUCCAGCUCCAAUAGCGUAUAUUAAAGUUGUUGCAGUUAAAAAGCUCGUAGUUGAAUUUCAGGCCUGGCUGGACGGUCCGCCCUUCGGGUGAGUACUGUCUGUGGUCGGGUCCUACCUUCUGGCGAAGCGUCAUGGCCUUAACCGGCCGUGGCGGGGAACCAGGACUUUUACUGUGAAAAAAUUAGAGUGUUCAAAGCAGGCAAUCGCUUGGAUACAUUAGCAUGGAAUAAUGGAAUAGGACAAUGGUUCUAUUUGUUGGUUUCUAGGACCGUUGUAAUGAUUAAUAGGGAUAGUUGGGGGCAUUAGUAUUCAAUUGUCAGAGGUGAAAUUCUUGGAUUUAUUGAAGACUAACUACUGCGAAAGCAUUUGCCAAGGAUGUUUUCAUUAAUCAAGAACGAAAGUUAGGGGAUCGAAGACGAUCAGAUACCGUCGUAGUCUUAACCAUAAACUAUGCCGACUAGGGAUCGGAUGAUGUAAUUUUUAAUGACUCAUUCGGCGCCUUACG